UAACAAAUUGCUGUAGUUUCUACAGCAAAAUUUUACAGGAAAUUCCUGUUUUAACAUUUUACAAGAUUUUAGUGUAGUUCACAAUGCAUUAUGGGUAAAAGAAAGUAUUACAGCUGUUAACAGUAUAUUUUCAUUUAAACUGUAAUUGAAUUUACAGGCAGAAGGUGUUGCCACUGUAUAUCAUAUGUUUUUACAAAAAUUAAUUGUGAAAUGGCAUCAUGGGAUUGCGUGGGUGUAUUUACGUUUGAAAUGGACAUGAACACUAAAGAGUCAUCAUUCAAAAUUGUUGGCAUGAGCGAGGCAGCAAAAAGCGCGAGGGGUCUCGUAACGGCUGGACUGCAAGGUGGUGAGACUAAUCUUCGAACUUAAAGGCACGAGACAGCAGAGAUUGCAACUCUAACCUGAUAGGACUGGUGGUGUGAGACAAAUGAGAAAAGAUUAUUUUUAGGUGAAAUCCUCAAUGCAACUCAGUGGAUGCUGAGUAUGGACGGUCAGGUGGUUGUGAAUCCACACCCCAACCUUGUGGCUGGAUUUGCAGCUUUGUUCGCAUCAUACUACAACUUCAACCUGGUUUACCAGAGGAAGGCAUCCUCCACACUUGAAUUUGUUCAAAGAUGUUUUGUUGGAAUCACACCUACCACUGGCAUCAAGACAGCAUCAAGAGGCAAAAAAGUGGAAACGCCUCUGAGAAGAGAAACAACACCAUCAACCCUUAUGUGUGUACUCUUUUCAGAAAAUUUUUGGACUUUAAAUGGUUACGCAUGUAAGUUCUUGUUCAUGUAUUAAGACCAAAACAUGUUUUAAAUAGGCCAGUUCUGUGAUUGAACACUUGUGUUUCUAGACAUACAAGUUCCCUGCUGAAAAAAACAGCAUACCAGCAAGACCAGCAUAUGUUGUGUUUUGGUGCUGGUUUGCUAGUGAACACCAGCUAAACCAGCAUCAGCACCAGCAUUAGCACCAGCUAAACCAGCACCAAACCAGCAUUAGCUCCAGCUAAACCAGCAUUAGCACCAGUAUACCAUGCUGGUCAUACCAGCAUAUGUUGUGUUUUGGUGCUGGUAUGCUGGUGACCACCAGCUAAACCAGCAUAGACCAGCAUAAUUCCCAUGCUGGUCCAUGCUGGUUUGAUGCUGUUUUUUUCAGCAGGGUUGUUAUGUUCUAACACAGAUUCAACAAGAUCUUAAAUGUAACACAAACCGUGUUUAGAUGUUUUAUAGAUGCCAUUGUUUUAGAAUAUUUAGGAUUGAGUGGAAUAGUUGCUGAAACAA